AGUGAACGCUGGCGGUAGGCCUAACACAUGCAAGUCGAACGGCAGCACAGGAGAGCUUGCUCUCUGGGUGGCGAGUGGCGGACGGGUGAGGAAUACAUCGGAAUCUACCUUUUCGUGGGGGAUAACGUAGGGAAACUUACGCUAAUACCGCAUACGACCUACGGGUGAAAGCAGGGGAUCUUCGGACCUUGCGCGAUUGAAUGAGCCGAUGUCGGAUUAGCUAGUUGGCGGGGUAAAGGCCCACCAAGGCGACGAUCCGUAGCUGGUCUGAGAGGAGGAUCAGCCACACUGGAACUGAGACACGGUCCAGACUCCUACGGGAGGCAGCAGUGGGGAAUAUUGGACAAUGGGCGCAAGCCUGAUCCAGCCAUACCGCGUGGGUGAAGAAGGCCUUCGGGUUGUAAAGCCCUUUUGUUGGGAAAGAAAUCCAGCUGGCUAAUACCCGGUUGGGAUGACGGUACCCAAAGAAUAAGCACCGGCUAACUUCGUGCCAGCAGCCGCCGCGGUAA
rnacentral:rRNA from 1 species